rnacentral:rRNA from 1 species
CAGUCGCCACGGUAAAACGGAGGGUGCAAGCGUUAUCCGGAAUUACUGGGCGUAAAGCGCACGCAGGCGGUUUGUUAAGUCAGAUGUGAAAUCCCCGAGCUUAACUUGGGAACUGCAUUUGAAACUGGCAAGCUAGAGUCUUGUAGAGGGGGGUAGAAUUCCAGGUGUAGCGGUGAAAUGCGUAGAGAUCUGGAGGAAUACCGGUGGCGAAGGCGGUCCCCUGGACAAAGACUGACGCUCAGGUGCGAAAGCGUGGGGAGCAAACAGGAUUAGAUACCCCAGUAGUCCCUGUCUCUUAUAC